rnacentral:miRNA from 1 species
CAGGAGCUGUGCUGCAUGCAGG